UCCUUUAUAGCUCAGUGGUAGAGCGUCAGUCUUGUAAACUGAAGCUAAGGAAUUCGAUCCUGCGUGGAGGAA
rnacentral:tRNA from 1 species